rnacentral:rRNA from 1 species
CACGCCGUAAACGAUGAGUGCUAAGUGUUAGAGGGUUUCCGCCCUUUAGUGCUGCAGCAAACGCAUUAAGCACUCCGCCUGGGGAGUACGGUCGCAAGACUGAAACUCAAAGGAAUUGACGGGGGCCCGCACAAGCGGUGGAGCAUGUGGUUUAAUUCGAAGCAACGCGAAGAACCUUACCAGGUCUUGACAUCCUCUGACAACCCUAGAGAUAGGGCUUCCCCUUCGGGGGCAGAGUGACAGGUGG